GAGGAAUUUUCCUGAGGUCACGCCGAAGGCGCACUUGGCGGGGUUGAGGCGCAGGCCGAACCUUCGCAGGGUGUCGAAUGUUUCAGCUAGGUCGGAAGGAUGGGCCUCCGCCGUUCGGCUCUUUACGAUCAUGUCGUCGACAUAUAUCUCCAUGUUUCGUCCAAUCUGAUGGGCGAAUAUCCUGUUCACCGUCCUCUGGUAGGU
rnacentral:lncRNA from 1 species